rnacentral:lncRNA from 1 species
GAAAGAGAGAUAGAGAAAAAUAGAAAAUGAAUGUAAAUAGGAGAGAGAAACGUCUAUUAUAUAAUUUUACAUAAUGACCUCUCUUGUUAUUGAUAAAUAAGAGAAAAAAAAAAAUCAAAGGGCAAUGAAUUGGUGGUGGAGAAAGUUAUUCAAGCUUUGAUUUGUUUGAGGUGGGAAGUGGACAACUGAAGUUGCAUGGGAAAAAUGUUUGAAGAAAUGGCAAGGGUAUAGUAGUCUUUUUGUAUUUUCUGUAAGAAAAGUUAAUUGUGCGUUAUUAGUCUAAAAGCAUGUGAAAGUUAUUUGCAUAUUUUUUAAUAUUAGAGAGGUGAUCUGCACAAUGACUAAACUACAUAGAAAUAAAAAGAAUUUUUCCCUUUAUUUUAUAAAUAAAGUUCUUUUAUGUCAAAAACAAUUAUAUUAGUUUAAAUAGAGUAUAUAUUUAUCUAUAAAAUAUAAAAGAAAUAAUUUUAAAAUCAUGAAAAUGAAACGACCCUUAUUGCAUGCUAUGGUUUCGUCUGCUUUGAUUUCGCAAUUCCAAUAAUUUGAUUUUUAUUUAAUUUUUUUUUAAAUCAAUUAAAUAUUAUUUAAUUAAUAAUUUUUAUUAGAAUUGCACCAAUUCAAACUGUAAAUAACCUGUCCACCAAACACGUUCUCAAAAGCAUCAAUUCUAUGACAUUAUGCCUUUUAGGCUCCAUUUGGCACCAUUUUUUUAAAUUUUUUUUUGCUUAAAAUAAGUAAAAAGGCCAAUCAGAGUUAGAUUUUUUACUUUUUUACUUUUUUUUUUUUCUUAGUUUUAAUUAAAAUUGAGCCACAAAAGAAAAAAAAUUGUACAUAAUACUUUUAGAUUUAUUUGGGCUUCUAUCAUGUAAAAACAAUUAAACAUAAUAAAUUAUACAAAACAUAACAAAAUACAUCUCUAAGUAAGAAAUAACUUUCUCAGCAAAACACAUACCACAUUAGAUAAUAAAUAUGAGCCUCUUGGUUUCCCAAAGACAACUACUUAUUAUAAGUGACUUUUGCAUAAUAUAUUUUUCUACGUAACAUUACUUACUAAGGAAAGUAAUUUUCUUUUUAAGUUUGAUGUUAACUUACCAAAUCGUUUGUUAGUGAGGUUGAGAUCCCGAGCUAAGACAUCUUCAUUGUGACUCGUGUCGUAUGCCUCAGUCUGUAUUGUGGGCAAGCCGACCUCUAGUGGGAUUACAACUUCGAAUUUGAAAGCCAGAGGGUAAGGCGUUUUAUUUGUUUUUUGCAGUGUGGUCCGAUAGGCCCACAAAACGUUUGACAGUUACUCAAUCCACUUGCCUUUGGCCUAUUCAACCCUCUUCUUGAUCCCAUUCAUGAUUGUAUUGUUGGUAGCCUCAUCUUGCCCAUUGCAUUGUGGGUAGCUCGGCGUUGAGUUGUAAAAUUCAAUCUUCAGUUGUUCCAACAAGUCUUUAACUUUUUUGCUCACAAAUUGGAUUCUGUUGUCAAAAUAUGAAUGCUCUGGGGAUGCCGAACUUGGAAAAAAUAUUUGUUCUCAUAAAUCUGAUCACAUCCAUCUCCCUGAUUUGGGCUAGCGGUUCGACUUCCACCUACUUUGUGAAGUAGUUCGUUGAUAUUAACAAACAUCUCUUAUUCCCCGAAGUUCAGGGCAAGACCCCCAAGAUGUCCAUUCCCCAUUGGGAAAAAGGCCAUGGACUAGUGAGAGGGGUCAAGUCUCCUGCUAGCUGGUGAAUCAGAAGGGAAAAGGGAUGGCACUUGGUACAAUUGUAAACGUAUACUUGGGCAUCUUUUUACAUGUAAGGCCACCAAUAUUCUUGGGUGAGAGCUCGGUAAGCCAGCGAUCUACCUCCUAAGUGUAAUCCGCACAUGCCUUCGUAAAUCUCAAAAAGUACAUCUUCUACUAGACUCAGGUGGACGCACAGUAAGGUUCCAUAUUUUUAGCUCCAUCAACAAAUAUUUUUUCAGGCCGAGGUGGGAUCGAUCUGGGGUGGUUCAACAAACAUUUUUUAGCUUCCUAAUGUGGUCUAUCUCUUCUUUUCUUUUAACCACCAUAUCAUCGAUGUAAAUGUCCAUGGUUUUUCUUAGGAUUGACUCAAAUAUUUUAGUGAUCAUGCUCUAAUAUGUGGCCCUAACAUUUUUCAGAUCAAAGGGCAUGACUUUAUAGUAGAAUACGCCUCGAGGGGUAAUGAAUGCAUUUCUCUCCUGAUCAGGCUUGUACAUGACUAUCUGGUGGUAACCUUGGUACGCAUCCAAGAACCUCAUCCGGGCCAUGACCUGAGGUAGAGUCCACCAAUUGAUCAAUUUUUGGCAAAAAGAAGUAAUGUUUAGGACAAGCUCAGUUGAGGUAUGUGAAGUCCAUGCACACUCUCCAUUUGCUAGUUUUCUUCUUUCCCACCAUUAUGUUGGAUGACCAUCUCGGGUAAAGAACUUUUGUUAUUGCACUUGCCUCCUUCAUUUUUUUCACUUCCUCAAUCACUACAUCCCUAUGCUCGAUUGCAGAUCUUUUUCCCAACUAUUC